GUGCACUUGUAGUAGUCGUGUG
rnacentral:siRNA from 1 species